AUUGAACGCUGGCGGAAUGCUUUACACAUGCAAGUCGAGCGGCAGCGCGGGGCAACCUGGCGGCGAGCGGCGAACGGGUGAGUAAUGCAUCGGAACGUACCCAGUCGUGGGGGAUAACUGUCCGAAAGGACAGCUAAUACCGCAUACGUCCUGAGGGAGAAAGCGGGGGAUCGCAAGACCUCGCGCGAUUGGAGCGGCCGAUGCCGGAUUAGCUAGUUGGUAGGGUAAAGGCCUACCAAGGCGACGAUCCGUAGCUGGUCUGAGAGGACGACCAGCCACACUGGAACUGAGACACGGUCCAGACUCCUACGGGAGGCAGCAGUGGGGAAUUUUGGACAAUGGGGGCAACCCUGAUCCAGCCAUUCCGCGUGAGUGAAGAAGGCCUCGGUUGUAAGACUCUUCGGUCAGGAACGAAACGGUAGAGGGCGUAAGUACCCUUUA
rnacentral:rRNA from 1 species